GACGAACGCUGGCGGCGUGCCUAAUACAUGCAAGUAGAACGCUGAAGGAUGAGCUUGCUUCUCUGGAUGAGUUGCGAACGGGUGAGUAACGCGUAGGUAACCUGCCUGGUAGCGGGGGAUAACUAUUGGAAACGAUAGCUAAUACCGCAUAAGAGUAGAUGUUGCAUGACAUUUGCUUAAAAGGUGCAAUUGCAUCACUACCAGAUGGACCUGCGUUGUAUUAGCUAGUUGGUGGGGUAACGGCUCACCAAGGCGACGAUACAUAGCCGACCUGAGAGGGUGAUCGGGCACACUGGGAAUGAGACACGGCCCAGACUCAUACGGGAGGCAGCAGUAGGGAAUCUUCGGCAAUGGACGGAAGUCUGACCGAGCAACGCCGCGUGAGUGAAGAAGGUUUUAGGAUCGUAAAGCUCUGUUGUAAGAGAAGAACGAGUGUGAGAGUGGAAAGUUCACAAUGUGACGGUAUCUUACCAGAAAGGGACGGCUAACUAAGUG
rnacentral:rRNA from 1 species